GUAAUCACUUGUCUUCUAAAUAAAGACUAGUAUGAACGGCUAAAUGAGGACAAACCUGUCUCCUGUGACCAAUCAGUGAAACUGAUCUUUCAGUACAAAAGCUGAAAUAACCCCAUAAGACGAGAAGACCCUGUGGAGCUUUAAACCAACUACUAAUAACCCAACCCUAGUAUGAGGUUUUGAGUUGGGGCGACUUUGGAGCAAAACACAACCUCCAAGCACAGAGGCACCCCCCUCUACUUAAGGCAAACAGGCCAAAACCAAGAGACGACCCAGUCACACUGAUCAACGAACCAAGUUACCCCAGGGAUAACAGCGCCAUCUUCUUUAAGAGUCCAUAUCGACAAGAAGGUUUACGACCUCGAUGUUGGAUCAGGACACCCAAAUGGUGUAGCCGCUAUUAAAGGUUCGUUUGUUCAAGGAUUAACAGU
rnacentral:rRNA from 1 species